AUCGAACGCUGGCGGCAGGCUUAACACAUGCAAGUCGAACGAGUGGCGGACGGGUGAGUAAUGUCUGGGAAACUGCCUGAUGGAGGGGGAUAACUACUGGAAACGGUAGCUAAUACCGCAUACCAUCAGAUGUGCCCAGAUGGGAUUAGCUUGUUGGGUGGGUAACGGCUCACCAAGGCGACGAUCCCUAGCUGGUCUGAGAGGAUGACGAGCGACACGGGAACUGAGACACGGUCCAGACGCCUACGGGAGGCAGGAGUGGGGAAUAUUGCACAAUGGGCGCAAGCCGGAUGCAGCCAUGCCGCGUGUAUGAAGAAGGCCGUCGGGUUGUAAAGUACUUUCAGCGGGGAGGCGGUACCCGCAGAAGAAGCACCGGCUAACUCCGUGCCAGCAGCCGCGGUAAUAC
rnacentral:rRNA from 1 species